rnacentral:rRNA from 1 species
CGCUAUCGCUCCUACGGGAGGCAGCAGUGGGGAAUAUUGCACAAUGGGGGAAACCCUGAUGCAGCCAUGCCGCGUGUGUGAAGAAGGCCUUCGGGUUGUAAAGCACUUUCAGUAGGGAGGAAGGUAGUGUAGUUAACACCUGCACUAUUUGACGUUACCUACAGAAGAAGCACCGGCUAACUCCGUGUCAGCAGCCGCGGUAAUACGGAGGGUGCGAGCGUUAAUCGGAAUUACUGGGCGUAAAGCGCAUGCAGGCGGCCUGUUAAGUCAGAUGUGAAAGCCCGGGGCUUAACCUCGGAAUUGCAUUUGAAACUGGCAGGCUAGAGUCUUGUAGAGGGGGUAGAAUUUCAGGUGUAGCGGUGAAAUGCGUAGAGAUCUGAAGGAAUACCAGUGGCGAAGGCGGCCCCCUGGACAAAGACUGACGCUCAGAUGCGAAAGCGUGGGGAGCAAACAGGAUUAGAUACCCUGGUAG